rnacentral:misc_RNA from 1 species
AAGUCGUAACAAGGUUUCCGUAGGUGAACCUGCGGAAGGAUCAUUAACACGAAUCUUUUUAUUUAUCCAAUAUUCAAACCAACCGUGAACUUAUCUCCUCCCUAUUUGUGCCAAUCAUUCAAAUAGGCUAACAAUUCUAUUUCUGAAUAAACCCCAUUUUAUCUAUCUAUGAAUUUUGUCUAGUUAACUGUUCUAUUCAGUUACCACUCAAAUAACUCUAUACUAUAUACACAACAACUUGUAUAGUUGCUUGUGUUGUUAUUGUAUCUUUAAGAAACAAUUUAUUCUAUAUUAACAACUCUUAACAAUGGAUAUCUUGGUUCUC